GCUGCAGUCGAGAUCAUUCGCAAUGGGCGAAGCCUGACGAUGCGACGCCGUGUGAGCGAUGAAGGCCUUCGGGUCGUAAAGCUCUUUCGCUUGGGAACAAGAGAGGUCAGCUAAUAACUGGCUAAUUUGAGGGUACCAGGUAAAGAAGCACCGGCUAACUCC
rnacentral:rRNA from 1 species